GACGAACGCUGGCGGCGUGCUUAAUACAUGCAAGUCGAACGAUGAAAGCUGGAGCUUGCUCCGGCUGGAUUAGUGGCGAACGGGUGAGUAACACGUGAGUAACCUGCCCCUCACUCUGGGAUAACCUCGGGAAACCGAAGCUAAUACCGGAUACGACCCUCGGAGGCAUCUCCAGGGGGUGAAAGAAUUUCGGUGAGGGAUGGACUCGCGGCCUAUCAGGUAGUUGGUGAGGUAACGGCUCACCAAGCCGACGACGGGUAGCCGGCCUGAGAGGGUGACCGGCCACACUGGGACUGAGACACGGCCCAGACUCCUACGGGAGGCAGCAGUAGGGAAUAUUGCACAAUGGGCGCAAGCCUGAUGCAGCAACGCCGCGUGAGGGGCGACGGCCUGGUGUAA
rnacentral:rRNA from 1 species